GGAGGCGUACGUGUCCUGGUGGGCGCCCCAGUCUUCAAAACUGGUGAGGUUGAGCAUCUCAGCCUGGCAGGUUCGAUUCCUGUCCGUCUCCGCCA
rnacentral:tRNA from 3 species